rnacentral:rRNA from 1 species
UACGUAGGGUGCAAGCGUUAAUCGGAAUUACUGGGCGUAAAGCGUGCGCAGGCGGCUUUGCAAGACAGAUGUGAAAUCCCCGGGCUUAACCUGGGAACUGCAUUUGUGACUGCAUGGCUAGAGUGCGGCAGAGGGGGAUGGAAUUCCGCGUGUAGCAGUAAAAUGCGUAGAUAUGCGGAGGAACACCGAUGGCGAAGGCAAUCCCCUGGGCCUGCACUGACGCUCAUGCACGAAAGCGUGGGGAGCAAACAGG